CAGUAGCCACGGUAAUACGUAUGGUGCAAGCGUUAAUCGGAAUUACUGGGCGUAAAGCGUGCGCAGGCGGUUAUAUAAGACAGAUGUGAAAUCCCCGGGCUCAACCUGGGAACUGCAUUUGUGACUGUAUAGCUAGAGUACGGCAGAGGGGGAUGGAAUUCCGCGUGUAGCAGUGAAAUGCGUAGAUAUGCGGAGGAACACCGAUGGCGAAGGCAAUCCCCUGGGCCUGUACUGACGCUCAUGCACGAAAGCGUGGGGAGCAAACAGGAUUAGAUACCCGAGUAGUCCCUGUCUCUUAUAA
rnacentral:rRNA from 1 species